GGAUUAGAUACCCUGGUAGUCCACGCCGUAAACGAUGAUAACUAGCUGUCCGGGCACUUGGUGCUUGGGUGGCGCAGCUAACGCAUUAAGUUAUCCGCCUGGGGAGUACGGCCGCAAGGUUAAAACUCAAAGGAAUUGACGGGGGCCUGCACAAGCGGUGGAGCAUGUGGUUUAAUUCGAAGCAACGCGCAGAACCUUACCAGCGUUUGACAUGGUAGGACGACUUCCAGAGAUGGAUUUCUUCCCUUCGGGGACCUACACACAGGUGCUGCAUGGCUGUCGUCAGCUCGUGUCG
rnacentral:rRNA from 1 species